rnacentral:lncRNA from 1 species
AAGUGAGAAGCGUCCCUCCUCAGGCCCUGAGUGGUUGAGUUCCAGCUUCUGACCUCUACCAGAGGAGCUCAACAGAGCACAGAUCUGCUCAGAAUCUCAAACCUUUUGUUGGGCUUUAUUUAUUUAUUUAUUUAUUUAUUUAUUUAUUUAUCUAUCUAUUUAUUUAUUUUGAUAUGAGAAACUUAGAAAUAAUUCAAAAUGUAUGCUCAGUUGGCAGGGAGUCAGCUGACCUCAAUAGAUCCAUUCAUGCUGCCAGACUGUUAAUGAACAGCUUGAAGACCACCAUGGUUCGAAGUAUUGACACCACAGAUACUUGGCCAAUGCUACAAGUUAGGGCUUUUUUCGUUUUGUUUUAAUUUGGUUUGGGAUUUGAGAGCUGGCUUGAUACAAUUUUCAUAUCAUGACACGGAAGUGUGGGGGGGU